rnacentral:rRNA from 1 species
UACGGGGGGGGUAAGCGUUGUUCGGAAUUACUGGGCGUAAAGGGCUCGUAGGCGGCCAACUAAGUCAGACGUGAAAUCCCUCAGCUUAACUGGGGAACUGCGUCUGAUACUGGAUGGCUUGGAUCCGGGAGAGGGAUGCGGAAUUCCAGGUGUAGCGGUGAAGUGCGUAGAUAUCUGGAGGAACACCGGUGGCGAAGGCGGCAUCCUGGACCGGUAUUGACGCUGAGGAGCGAAAGCCAGGGGAGCAAACGGG